GUGGGGAAUAUUGCACAAUGGGGGAAACCCUGAUGCAGCGACGCCGCGUGGAGGAAGAAGGUCUUCGGAUUGUAAACUCCUGUUGUUGAGGAAGAUAAUGACGGUACUCAACAAGGAAGUGACGGCUAACUACGUGCCAGCAGCCGCGGUAAAACGUAGGUCACAAGCGUUGUCCGGAAUUACUGGGUGUAAAGGGAGCGCAGGCGGGAGAACAAGUUGGAAGUGAAAUCCAUGGGCUCAACCCAUGAACUGCUUUCAAAACUGUUUUUCUUGAGUAGUGCAGAGGUAGGCGGAAUUCCCGGUGUAGCGGUGGAAUGCGUAGAUAUCGGGAGGAACACCAGUGGCGAAGGCGGCCUACUGGGCACCAACUGACGCUGAGGCUCGAAAGUGUGGGUAGCAAACAGGAUUAGAUACCCGAGUAGUCC
rnacentral:rRNA from 1 species